AGUUUGAUCCUGGCUCAGAUUGAACGCUGGCGGCAGGCCUAACACAUGCAAGUCGGACGGUAGCACAGAGAGCUUGCUCUUGGGUGACGAGUGGCGGACGGGUGAGUAAUGUCUGGGGAUCUGCCCGAUAGAGGGGGAUAACCACUGGAAACGGUGGCUAAUACCGCAUAACGUCGCAAGACCAAAGAGGGGGACCUUCGGGCCUCUCACUAUCGGAUGAACCCAGAUGGGAUUAGCUAGUAGGCGGGGUAAUGGCCCACCUAGGCGACGAUCCCUAGCUGGUCUGAGAGGAUGACCAGCCACACUGGAACUGAGACACGGUCCAGACUCCUACGGGAGGCAGCAGUGGGGAAUAUUGCACAAUGGGCGCAAGCCUGAUGCAGCCAUGCCGCGUGUAUGAAGAAGGCCUUAGGGUUGUAAAGCUCUUUUACCCGGGAUGAUAAUGACAGUACCGGGAGAAUAAGCCCCGGCUAACUCCGUGCCAGCAGCCGCGGUAA
rnacentral:rRNA from 1 species